rnacentral:rRNA from 1 species
AGCGUUGUCCGGAAUCACUGGGCGUAAAGGGCGCGUAGGCGGCAGGCCAAGCGUGCGGUGAAAGUCCGGGGCUCAACCCCGGAUCUGCCGUGCGGACUGGUUUGCUAGAGCACUGUAGAGGCGAGUGGAAUUCCGGGUGUAGCGGUGGAAUGCGUAGAGAUCCGGAAGAACACCGGUGGCGAAGGCGGCUCGCUGGGCAGUGGCUGACGCUGAGGCGCGACAGCGUGGGGAGCAAACAGG